rnacentral:lncRNA from 1 species
CUCUUUUGCUUGUCCUCAAGAAAAAACAAUGAGCAGUCUCUCUGAAAGGUGUUUUUGAAACAACAGGGACUCACAUAAAUUAAGAAAUUACUAUCAUCACCUCAACAGUAUUGCAACCACAUCAAAUAGAUCUUAACUUAGAAGUACUUCUAAUGCAAUAUCCUAGCUGAGCAACCAAUUCCAUUCAUCCAACAACUUAACUAAUCAUGUUUGACUAACAUCUCUACUGAC